UAAAGGGUUGUUCGAGACUAGAACGUUGAUAGGCAGGGUGUGUAAGCGUUGUGAGGCGUUUGAGCUAACCUGUACUAAUUGCCCGUGAGGCUUAACCAUACAACACCCAAGGGGUUUUGUA
rnacentral:rRNA from 1 species